UGGGUGUGAUCCAACAUCCGAUCAUUUACAUGUUCACUCCCAAUGUCCUACCGGCUGCAAUUUAUACACUUUCAUUCCACAAUGAGUGAUCAGGCUUGGAGCAACUCUGGAGAGGGAAGGAUGCUCUAAGAAUCCACCAGUCAUAUUGCUAUGAUCAAAGGAGCUGACAGUCUAAUUAUCAACGACUGCUAAAAAAUGUGUUGACCUGCAGGGAAGGAGCUGCAUCUGCCUGAAUACAAGAAUUUUGGAGAUUUUUUUUUUUAAAAACUCGACAAAAAGGCCAAUCAGCACUGUCAAGACAGAGGGUCAGGGGAUUAUGAAAACCCCUCCUACUAGCUUUAAGCAGACACUGAUACAAAUCACAAGACUGCUCUAACUGCAGGUGAGAAAAGGAUAAUGGGUUUAAAGGAAAACUAAAGAGGUUCACAGAAAAUUAGGAGUGGGAGAUCGAGCAAAGGAUCAGGUAAAGAAAUAGACU